rnacentral:rRNA from 1 species
AGAGUUUGAUCAUGGCUCAGGAUGAACGCUAGCGGGAGGCCUAACACAUGCAAAGUCGAACGGGAUUCCCUUCGGGGGAUGAGAGUGGCGCACGGGUGAGUAACGCGUAUGCAACCUACCUGUAACAGAGGGAUAGCCCAUAGAAAUGUGGAUUAAUACCUCAUAGUUCUGUAUUGUCGCAUGGUGAUACAGAUAAAACUCCGGUGGUUACAGAUGGGCAUGCGUGACAUUAGCUAGUUGGUGAGGUAACGGCUCACCAAGGCGACGAUGUCUAGGGGUUCUGAGAGGAUGAUCCCCACACUGGUACUGAGACACGGACCAGACUCCUACGGGAGGCAGCAGUGAGGAAUAUUGGUCAAUGGGCGCAAGCCUGAACCAGCCAUCCCGCGUGCAGGAUGACGGCCCUAUGGGUUGUAAACUGCUUUUAUACACCAAGAAAAACAGGACGUGUCCUGAUCUGACGGGUAGUGUAUGAAUAAGCAUCGGCUAACUCCGUGCCAGCAGCCGCGGUAAUA